UGUUCUGUGGCUUAGUUGGUUAAAGCGCCGUACUAGCGAUAUAGAAUCGUGGGUUCGAAUCCCACCAAAACAA
rnacentral:tRNA from 1 species